GGCAGAGAUGGGGUCCAGUGGCUCGAGUGGACACCACAUCCCCCACCACCACCGCCAGGCCACCACAGCAGGCAGGGAACCCGGGGCGGAGCGGUCACAGGCAGCCAUCUGCCCAGUGAGAGGGGCCAGCGUGUCCAGCCUGGGAAGAGGGUCCCAGCAGGUGCCAGGGGAGCUGUGGGCGCCUCCUGACCCCACCUGUGUGUGUGAAGGUGGCCGGGAGCAGCUGGAUCAGGCAAGAACCUCUGGUCCUUAGAGCUGCUGGGGGCAGCGGGGUGGCUUCUUGAGGCUCUGGAGCUCAGGGAGGCUGUUCCCACUAGUGGCUGGGGCGGCCAACCAGGGCAGGCCUGAAACAGACGCCAGCAGAGGUGGCAGGCAGGCGUCUGCCCAGGCUGGCACAGAGCCAGAGAGCAGGACUUGGUGCUGCGGCCACAUGUGAAGUGGGGCCUCGUUCCCUAGUUCUGUGGGUCACAUGGGAGCCGGCUCCCGGGGACAGAGAACUACAGCUGACCGUCUCUUGGUCAUGGAGGGUGGCCACGUAAGGCAGGGGACCCUGACGUCCUGUGGGGGUAUUUUGCAAAAGUCACAGGUCCAAGUAUGUCUCGGAGAGCUGUCAGGGUUGCAGGUGGAGAGCUGGCCCACUGGCUUUUCUGUUUUCUUUCUGUCCUUUCUCUCUCUCUCCUCCUCCCUCCUUCCCUCUCUCCCUUCCUUCCUUCUCCCUUCCUCUGCUUCCUCUCCUUCAUCUCUUCCUCCUUUCA